UUAUUUCUGCGUUUUCUACAUUCAGCUCAUCUGUCACCACUGGUGCUACAGACUCUGAUCUGGGAUGGAGAUCUGAAGGGGACAAUUACAGCUGUUGACUAGCAGGCAGCCAGGUGCAGAGAGGGGUAAUGAGAGUCUGAUCACGUAACGCCGAGCUCACUGCAAAACUGAAGAUCAUCACCAUUUUCAUCUUUAUAUCAGCAGUCUAUGAAAAAAGCAAUUACAGCAAUCAUGAAGUGUGGGCAUGUUGGGUUCUGUCCCAGGACAUCUCGUUACAGCACACAGACACUGUGCUGAUGUGAUCCAGCGAGAGGAGUGUGAGGAUGAGGAGGCAGACCUUCCUCUGUACGAACACUGAUUCAAUGCAAUAAGCUUUUGACAAAUUCCUUUUAAACAAACUUUACAAUAACACAAUUCCUUUAACCAUG